UAUUCCAUUAUCAGUCAGUUCGUGGUAGUAAAACUAUCACCUGGUCGGCAUGGCGAUAAUUAUAUUUUACAUGGUUUUGGUUAUACUCAUCCUAUGCACGCUAAAAGAGCCAGUAGUUGGCAUUCCAACUUGGCUUUUAGGUACGUUCGUUGUAUUUUUGCGUUUGUGGAUGGUAACUAUGAAUUAAUGUUGUUCAGAAGCGGAAAAUAUCACCCUAGAAGAAACAAAUUUACAAUAGUGUAUAAUACACUCAGAUGAAAUACGGUAUGAGUAAAUUGUAUGACUAAAA